GCCGGGGAACAUCUGGAGAGGUGGCAGAGCGGUUGAAUGUACCUGACUCGAAAUCAGGCAGGCGUUUAUAGCGCCUCGGGG
rnacentral:ncRNA from 1 species